rnacentral:piRNA from 1 species
UAUGCCUCAUCUUUCUAGAAGGAAGGAGAA